rnacentral:misc_RNA from 1 species
GUGAAUCAUCGAAUCUUUGAACGCACAUUGCGCCCCGUGGCAUCCCGCGGGGCAUGCCUGUCCGAGCGUCAUUUCAACCCUCAAGCGCUGCUUGGUGUUGGGCGCGGCCCCAGUGGCCGGCCCUAAAGAGAGUGGCGGCGACCUCUGGCCCUGAGCGCAGUACGUGCCUCGCUAUAGCGCCCGACGGCCGCCCGCCAGAACCCCCCAACUACCUAGCGGUUGACCUCGGAUCAGGUAGGGAUACCCGCUGAACUUAAGCAUAUCAAUAAGCGGAGGA